AUUGAACGCUGGCGGCAGGCUUAACACAUGCAAGUCGAGCGGAGAUGAGGUGCUUGCACCUUAUCUUAGCGGCGGACGGGUGAGUAAUGCUUAGGAAUCUGCCUAUUAGUGGGGGACAACAUUCCGAAAGGAAUGCUAAUACCGCAUACGUCCUACGGGAGAAAGCAGGGGAUCUUCGGACCUUGCGCUAAUAGAUGAGCCUAAGCCGGAUUAGCUAGUUGGUGGGGUAAAGGCCUACCAAGGCGACGAUUUGUAGCGGGUCUGAGAGGAUGAUCCGCCACACUGGGACUGAGACACGGCCCAGACUCCUACGGGAGGCAGCAGUGGGGAAUAUUGGACAAUGGGGGGAACCCUGAUCCAGCCAUGCCGCGUGUGUGAAGAAGGCCUUAUGGUUGUAAAGCACUUUAAGCGAGGAGGAGGCUACUGAGACUAAUACUCUUGGAUAGUGGACGUUACUUGCAGAAUAAGCACCGGCUAACUCUGUGCCAGCCGCCGCCGUAA
rnacentral:rRNA from 1 species